GAUGAACGCUGGCGGCGCGCCUAACACAUGCAAGUCGAACGAUUAAAGCACCUUCGGGUGUGUAUAAAGUGGCGAACGGCUGAGUAAUACGUGGGCAACCUGCCCCUUUCAUUGGGAUAGCCACGGGAAACCGUGGAUAAUACCGAAUACUUCGAGACUUCCGCAUGGAAGACUCGAGAAAGCUCCGGCGGAGAGGGAUGGGCCCGCGGCCUGUUAGCUUGUUGGUGGGGUAACGGCCUACCAAGGCAAUGAUGGGUAGCUGGGUUGAGAGACCGACCAGCCAGAUUGGGACUGAGACACGGCCCAGACUCCUACGGGAGGCAGCAGUGGGGAAUCUUGCACAAUGGGCGAAAGCCUGAUGCAGCGACGCCGCGUGCGGGAUGAAGGCCUUCGGGUUGUAAACCGCUUUCAGCAGGGACGAGGCGAAAGUGACGGUACCUGCAGAAGAAGCCCCGGCUAACUACGUG
rnacentral:rRNA from 1 species